GUCAUCAUCCUCGUCAAAUUCAUCAUCAUCCUCGUCUUCAUCUUCCAAUUCAUCAGCAUCGGCGUUGGAAGAACCUUGUUGAGUAAUUGGUCCCUGGGUAUUCAAGGUAAUCCUCGAUUUACCCUUUGCAUGCUGAGGACGAAUAUCCUCUUCUCUAUCUUCAACAUCAUAGUCGUCAGCAUCAUUACCAAGUAACAGCAAGUCCAUGUCUGAAUAAACCAUCCCUUGGAGAAGCAUGGGGACUAUUUUAUCCAAAUAAGGACCUAAAGCAGAGCAAAGAUCGGGUUGUUCAGCAAUUGCAAGCCAAAACUCACAAGCUUCUAAUGCGACAUUCUGAUCAGAAUCUUGAGUAGAGUACAACAUGUAUUCGACAAUGCUUCCCAAGGAGGGUGCAAUUUUAUCAGGACGGACAUCGAGCAGGUAAACAAGAGCUUGACAGACAUUUUUACGCACAUUUGGAGAAACGUCUGUUGCUAAGGCGUAGCAUGUUUCAAGGAAUGUAUCAAUAUGGGCAUAGAGAGAUUGACUUUGAAUUAGAACAAACUGGUUCAGACAGAAAAGGGCGUCCGUACGAAUUUUUGGGUUCUCGUGUCGAGCAAGUUCAAUAAACCGGGGUAUCAUAAAAUCCAAGGGACGAGUACCAUUGAAAUCACGAUCUAACUCUUGAGCCGAAUCCUCACAUAUUUUAGUUAAGGCGCUGAAUGCUCCUUCUUGAGUGGUAGAAGCAGGGCUAGAAAGCAUUUCCAUUAAUUGUGGCAAUACUUCAGGCCAAGUACUAAUUCCCCAACGACUAAUGAUUGUAGUGAUCACAUUACCAGAUAUGCCUCGAAUGAGUUGUUCAGGGUCACACAAACCGCGAAUAACUGUUGACUUUGUGUAAUCGAGGCUCUGCAAACCUGAACCAGACUCUAAGCUUGAAACACGAACAUUGUUCUUCAACAAAAGACCAGCAGCAGAUCUAAUUGAAACACUAAGCUCCGUAGCGUUGAUGA